UACGUAGGGGGCAAGCGUUGUCCGGAAUCAUUGGGCGUAAAGAGCGUGUAGGCGGCCCGGUAAGUCCGCUGUGAAAGUCCAGGGCUCAACCCUGGGAUGCCGGUGGAUACUGUCGGGCUCGAGUCCGGAAGAGGAGUGUGGAAUUCCUGGUGUAGCGGUGAAAUGCGCAGAUAUCAGGAAGAACACCGGUGGCGAAGGCGGCCCGCUGGGCUGUUGCUGACGCUGAGGCGCGACAGCGUGGGGAGCAAACAGG
rnacentral:rRNA from 1 species